UGGACAAAGAGCCACAGAGAAUGGUGAAACAGACUGCCACCCCUCAGACCUCCACCUCCAAGCUGGCCUGAGGUUCAUCACUGAGGCAAGUGUCGUCAGAGACCCCACGACAGUCUUUGAUUCUGCAACUCAUAAAAGCAGAACAAAUAGAGAAGAUCAUCAGAGACCUGAGGCAGGUCUUCCGUACCACCCAGGGCCACACGGCAGCGACCCUGGAAGAGCAGCUCCCCAGGCACCUGUACACAGAGCUAAACCCAGGGAUUUUGACGGUGUCUCACAUUGGAACUCCUAGGAACCCAUUAUGUAACCCAGGCUAACCUCAAAUUUGUAGUAAUGCUUCUGUCUCAGCCUCCCUAGUGUUGGGGCCUCCCUAGUAACAGCACAUGUGUCCCCACCAGCCUUUUUUUGCUCCAAUUAUACUCAACGUGGGUUAAGUUAUGUUCACUACAAAGCCUGAAGCCAAACCAAGCUUGUUUAGGGAAGAAUGAACAAGACAGCCCCACUCAUCAAAGAGCAGCAAAGCAGAUCCCUCUGUCCAGGAACUGAAGCAGGUCCCAUCCGGUGACCCCCACAAUGACAACACAGAGAGGACCCCAGUGUGUUUAUGGAGUCUCCAGGGCAUUCUGCAAACCAAACCCAAAGCCUGUCUGCCUAUGAUGUUCAUUCUUUGCCAGUUGCUAAGGUAAGAGCGAAUGCUAGGCAGUAGGGUUCAGGUAAGAGCAAAUGUCAGACAGUGGGGUUCAUGGCCACAGAAAGGACACCAUGGAAAUGUGUCAGAG
rnacentral:lncRNA from 1 species